GAGCGGCGGACGGGUGAGCAAUACAUAGGAAUCUACCUUAGAGCGGGGGAUAGCCCGGGGAAACCCGGAUUAAUACCGCAUGAUGUCGAAAGACCAAAGUGGGGGACCGUAAGGCCCCACACUCUGAGAUGAGCCUAUGUCGGAUUAGCUAGUUGGCGGGGUAACGGCCCACCAAGGCAACGAUCCGUAGCUGGUCUGAGAGGACGAUCAGCCACACCGGAACUGAGACACGGUCCGG
rnacentral:rRNA from 1 species